rnacentral:rRNA from 1 species
CGAACGCUGGCGGCGUGCUUAACACAUGCAAGUCGACCGGAAAGGCCCUGCUUUUGUGGGGUGCUCGAGUGGCGAACGGGUGAGUAACACGUGAGUAACCUGCCCUUGACUUUGGGAUAACUUCAGGAAACUGGGGCUAAUACCGGAUAGGAGCUCCUGCUGCAUGGUGGGGGUUGGAAAGUUUCGGCGGUUGGGGAUGGACUCGCGGCUUAUCAGCUUGUUGGUGGGGUAGUGGCUUACCAAGGCUUUGACGGGUAGCCGGCCUGAGAGGGUGACCGGCCACAUUGGGACUGAGAUACGGCCCAGACUCCUACGGGAGGCAGCAGUGGGGAAUAUUGCACAAUGGGCGGAAGCCUGAUGCAGCAACGCCGCGUGCGGGAUGACGGCCUUCGGGUUGUAAACCGCUUUCGCCUGUGACGAAGCGUGAGUGACGGUAAUGGGUAAAGAAGCACCGACUAACUACGUG